rfam:Gossypium hirsutum cultivar TM-1 chromosome 1, whole genome shotgun sequence
CGUUAAAAAAUUUAUUUAUUUGUACUAUUAAAAAUUGGCAUGGCCUACAAAAUAAUCAGAUAGUGCCAUGUGCUGUCCCACGUGUACCUUAUGUUAACGUACAAGGACUAGUUUUUAACAAUAGAAAUGGAUGAAAUUUUUAACG